UUGAAACAUCGGUUCUCGUACGAGCACGAAGUAAAGCAACGUCGAGCCUGGUCAGUACCUAGAUGGGUAACCGCUUGGGAAUACCAGGUAC